rnacentral:rRNA from 1 species
UACAGAGGGGGCAAGCGUUGUUCGGAAUUACUGGGCGUAAAGCGCGCGUAGGCGGCUUUGUAAGUUAGAGGUGAAAGCCCGGGGCUCAACCCCGGAACUGCCUUUAAGACUGCAUCGCUUGAAUCCAGGAGAGGUGAGUGGAAUUCCGAGUGUAGAGGUGAAAUUCGUAGAUAUUCGGAAGAACACCAGUGGCGAAGGCGGCUCACUGGACUGGUAUUGACGCUGAGGUGCGAAAGCGUGGGGAGCAAACAGG